rnacentral:rRNA from 1 species
GUCUCCGACCAUACCACCCUGAGUGCGCCCGAUCUCGUCUGCUCCCAGAAGCUAAGCAGCAUUGGGCCUGGUUAGUACCUGGAUGGGAAGACA